UGGAUCCAAUGAUCCAAUCAACCACAUUUGCACUAGAAUGUCAGAUUCCUGAGGGCAAAACCCAAGGCUCCCUUGGUCACUCUAUUAUCCAUGGAGCUUGGAGUGAUGUCUUGGCAAGAGGCAGAUGGAAGACCAGAAUGAGUACUCUCUUGGGGAAGCAGAUCUGAGAAGGAGCUGAUCAAGGCAUGUCAUUUUCUUCUCUGAAAUUCAUCAAACAACAAAAUACAUCACUUCAUGACCAUGGCAAGGAAUUAGUGAAGGUAAAUGGACCACCCCCCAGGGACUGGAAUUUCCAUGCCAAGAAAUACUUGGCACCUCACUGUGCCCCUGCACGGAAAAACUGAAGGCUGGAGAUUAAUUCUGCCCCUCAAAAUUUCCAAGGCCAUUUCUACUUAAGAGAUUUGGUACUUUGCUCAGUCUUCUCUGAAAUGCUCAUCCACCGGUGUGUCUUCACAUGGCUGGCUCUUUCUAAACAGUCAGUUCUUUGUUCAAUAUCAGCUCUUCAGAGAAACCUUCCUCAACCACCCAAUCACCACACUCUACUCAAUCUUUAUCACAGCAUUCUGCUUUGUUUCCUUAAUAUAAUUUCCUUAAUAAAUAUAUAUAUAAUUUCCAUGGUUGCUCACUAUCUGUUUUCUCUUACUAGAAUAGAUGCUUCACAAGAAGAGAUCUUACCUGUUUUGUAAAUGUUUUUAACCCCAUUGCCUAGAACAGCACCUGACAUUUGUGGGUGCACGAUAAAUCCCUUCCCAUGAAAGAAUGUAUUCAGGAACGUAUGCAUGCAUGAAUGGAAAAUAUUUUGCAGUGUUGAAUAGAAGGAGUGACACAAAAUACUGUGAAAUUGGAGCCUGAUCAGCUUCAUCUUGAUCCUGGCUCAAGUUCUAGAAUGAAAAGAUAAUUGGAUGAUUUAUGAACGAAAGAAAAAAUACUGAUUCUUAGGACUUAUAGAUUCAUAAAGAAAGCAUGUCAUGUUAUGACACGCUUAUGAAAAAAUAUAGGGCAAACAAUUAAGGGAAAACAUUUAAAGUAAAUUCAUAGAUAAGCCCACCCUUCAGUGAUAACCUGAGUGUUUUAGUCUCCACCAGAGGCUGAGUAUGUGCCUUAUAAUCUGAUUGCCUCUGUAUGUCCUGGUUCUACCACCUAACAGUCUGGUGUCCUUAUGCGUAUUAUUUAGCUUUUCUGAUUAAACACUGGGAUUUAGUUUCCCUGCAUGUAACUUUAUAAGGUUAGAGUCAAGAUCGACUAAGAUAGACAAUGCAAAACGCUUCAUGCAGUGCCUGGCAUAUAGGACCUUUUAUUUUUUUUUGAGGAAGAUCAGUCCUGAGCUAACUGCUGCCAAUCCUCCUCGUUUUGCUGAGGAACACUGGCCCUGAGC
rnacentral:lncRNA from 1 species